UCUAGCAUGUGCGCGAGUCAUUGGGGAAUAACGAAACAUAAAGGCGAAAUGAAAGUGAAGGUCCGCCUCGCGCGGACCUAGGGAGGAUGGGCCCGUCCACGGGCGGGCCCCGCACUCCCGGGGCGUCCCGUUCUCAUCGCGAGAAGGGGCGCACCCAGAGCGUACACGCUGGGACCCGAAAGAUGGUGAACUAUGCCUGGUCAGGACGAAGUCAGGGGAAACCCUGAUGGAGGUCCGUAGCGAUUCUGACGUGCAAAUCGAUCGUCGGAACUGGGUAUAGGGGCGAAAGACUAAUCGAACCAUCUAGUAGCUGGUUCCCUCCGAAGUUUCCCUCAGGAUAGCUGGCGCUCGCCGCGUGCGAGUCUCAUCCGGUAAAGCGAAUGAUUAGAGGCAUUGGGGUCGAAACGGCCUCAACCUAUUCUCAAACUUUAAAUGGGUGAGAUCUCCGGCUUGCUUGAACGUGAAGCCGCGAGAUUUCGGAUCAGAGUGCCAAGUGGGCCACUUUUGGUAAGCAGAACUGGCGCUGUGGGAUGAACCAAACGCAGAGUUAAAGCGCCAAAAUCGACGCUUAUGGGAUACCAUGAAAGGCGUUGGUAACUUAAGACAGCAGGACGGUGGCCAUGGAAGUCGGAAUCCGCCAAGGAGUGUGUAACAACUCACA
rnacentral:rRNA from 1 species